rnacentral:rRNA from 1 species
GGUUGGGAUGACGGUACCCAAAGAAUAAGCACCGGCUAACUUCGUGCCAGCAGCCGCGGUAAUACGAAGGGUGCAAGCGUUACUCGGAAUUACUGGGCGUAAAGCGUGCGUAGGUGGUUAUUUAAGUCCGUUGUGAAAUCCCUGGGCUCAACCUGGGAACUGCAGUGGAUACUGGAUGACUAGAAUGUGGUAGAGGGUAAUGGAAUUCCUGGUGUAGCAGUGAAAUGCGUAGAGAUCAGGAGGAACAUCCAUGGCGAAGGCAACUACCUGGACCAGCAUU